UACACUCCUACGGGAGGCAGCAGUGGGGAAUUUUGGACAAUGGGCGAAAGCCUGAUCCAGCAAUGCCGCGUGCAGGAUGAAGGCCUUCGGGUUGUAAACUGCUUUUGUACGGAACGAAAAAGCUCCUUCUAAUACAGGGGGCCCAUGACGGUACCGUAAGAAUAAGCACCGGCUAACUACGUGCCAGCAGCCGCGGUAAUACGUAGGGUGCGAGCGUUAAUCGGAAUUACUGGGCGUAAAGCGUGCGCAGGCGGUUAUGUAAGACAGAUGUGAAAUCCCCGGGCUCAACCUGGGAACUGCAUUUGUGACUGCAUGGCUAGAGUAUGGUAGAGGGGGAUGGAAUUCCGCGUGUAGCAGUGAAAUGCGUAGAUAUGCGGAGGAACACCGAUGGCGAAGGCAAUCCCCUGGACCUGUACUGACGCUCAUGCACGAAAGCGUGGGGAGCAAACAGGAUUAGAAACCCCUGUAGGUCCCAUGAU
rnacentral:rRNA from 1 species